rnacentral:tRNA from 1 species
GGCCUUAUAGUCAUUUAAUGAUAUUAGACUGCAAUUCUAAAGGAGUGGACUAUCACUAAGGUUU